rnacentral:lncRNA from 1 species
ACCAUAUGAAUAAGAUUGAUAGCACCUUGUCCGAGUUGUUGAAUAUGUUGGUGACAGCUGAGGACACUCUGAAAAGUUCAAGGAGAAUAGUUCUUACUGUGGAGCAGGCCUCUUCCAAGAGAAAGUUUGCUUGGAAGAAGAAGAAUAAAAAGCCUGCGAAGAAAUAAAAGACCAAGAGUGGGAAGAAGAAGAAAGCUCCAAAGAAGGCCAACGAUAAAGAAAAAUGUUUCCACUGCGA